GGAAUGGGCAUAGCCACGUAAAACAGAUAUAACAACUACACACACAGAGAGAAGAGAGGAAUGGGCAUAGCCACGUAAAACAGGUAUACUAAAGAUAACAACUACACACAGAGAGAGAGAGAAGAGAGGAAUGGGCAUAGCCACGUAAAACAGAUAUACUAAAGAUAACAACUACACACAGAGAGAGAGAAGAGAGGAAUGGGCAUAGACACGUAAAACAGGUAUACUAAAGAUAACAACUACACACAGAGAGAGAGAAGAGAGGAAUGGGCAUAGCCACGUAAAACAGAUAUACUAAAGAUUACAACUACACACAGAGAGAGAAGAGAGGAAUGGGCAUAGCCACGUAAAACAGAUAUACUAAAGAUUACAACUACACACAGAGAGAGAAGAGAGGAAUGGGCAUAGCCACGUAAAACAGGUAUACUAAAGAUUACAACUACACACAGAGAGAGAAGAGAGGAAUGGGCAUAGCCACGUAAAACAGAUAUACUAAAGAUUACAACUACACACAGAGAGAGAAGAGAGGAAUGGGCAUAGCCACGUAAAACAGGUAUAACAACUACACACAGAGAGAGAGAAGAGAGGAAUGGGCAUAGCCACAUAAAACAGGUAUAACAACUACACACAGAGAGAGAGAAGAGAGGAAUGGGCAUAGCCACGUAAAACAGGUAUAACAACUACACACAGAGAGAGAAGAGAGGAAUGGGCAUAGCCACGUAAAACAGGUAUACUAAAGAUAUAACAACUACACACAGAGAGAGAGAGAAGAGAGGAAUGGGCAUAGCCACGUAAAACAGAUAUACUAAAGAUAUAACAACUACACACACAGAGAGAGAAGAGAGGAAUGGGCAUAGCCACGUAAAACAGGUAUACUAAAGAUAACAACUACACACAGAGAGAGAGAGAAGAGAGGAAUGGGCAUAGCCACGUAAAACAGAUAUACUAAAGAUAUAACAACUACACACACAGAGAGAGAAGAGAGGAAUGGGCAUAGCCACGUAAAAUAGGUAUACUAAAGAUAACUACACACAGAGAGAGAGAAGAGAGGAAUGGGCAUAGCCACGUAAAACAGAUAUAACAACUACACACACAGAGAGAAGAGAGGAAUGGGCAUAGCCACGUAAAACAGGUAUACUAAAGAUAACUACACACAGAGAGAGAGAGAAGAGAGGAAUGGGCAUAGCCACGUAAAACAGAUAUACUAAAGAUAACAACUACACACAGAGAGAGAAGAGAGGAAUGGCCAUAGCCACG